CAUAUAUACAUAUAUAUGUCAUAUUAGUACUUGUCACAACCCUUUCAAAGGAUCGAGGCUAGCAGCUAGAGAAAGAUGGGCACAGCUCUGACGAAAUCUUCUUCCGGAAAUGAAGAAAAGAAGAGCAAAGAAAUCGGUCCGAUAUUAGAAGAUUUCUACGAUAAUCAUAUUGCAAAUCCCUCCAAGGGGUGGACGUUUGCUGAAUUCUACAGGGUAGUAUGCGACACGGUCGAGGAAAUCAAUAAACAACUUGGUUACACACAAAUUCUUGUACCAAAGGCUGACAAACUCCAAGACGCCUAUAGAAAAUACCACCGAGGUGAAGAAAAGUUGACGAAGGAUGAGUUUCAAAAGAUCUUCGAAGAAGUACUGGUUUCGGGCACAGGGGUUACUGGCAUUGGAAUAAAGGAUUCACUCUACAUCUUUGGUGUCCCAUUAACUGCAUUGGUGGCCAAGCAAAGAGUACUGCCACGAGCAAUUCCUAAUGAAAUUUUCAUCCCAGUCAUCACUUCUGUCACUGUCUUGAUUAUGGCAAAAUUUAAUAAGUUAUGAAAUUAAGAUCAUAUUACAUUGGAACUACUGGGUUUUCUUCAGUUGAUUUCAUAAUUUAUUGGCGCGCCAUGACUGGUAAUUAUUGUAAUAUAUAUAUAUAUAUAUAUAUAUAUAUAUAUAUAUAUGUAAUGCCUCGCUGAGAAGCAUGAGCGAGGAUCUCAUAUUAGUCGAUCGACUGUAACACAUAAUCUCUGCUAAGCAGUGCUUGUUAUAUUUAUGAUCUAAUUGAUUGGAUAUAUAGCAAUACUAUGUGUGUGCUUCUA